rnacentral:rRNA from 1 species
CGGGGGGGCAAGCGUUGUUCGGAAUUACUGGGCGUAAAGGGCUCGUAGGCGGCCAACUAAGUCAGACGUGAAAUCCCCAGGCUCAACCUGGGAACUGCGUCUGAUACUGGAUGGCUCGAAUUCGGGAGAGGGAUGCAGAAUUCCAGGUGUAGCGGUGAAAUGCGUAGAUAUCUGGAGGAAUACCGGUGGCGAAGGCGGCAUCCUGGACCGACAUUGACGCUGAGGAGCGAAAGCUAGGGGAGCAAACGGGAUUAGAUACCCCGGUAGUCCUAGCCCUAAACGAUGAAUGCUUGGUGUAACGGGUAUCGAUCCCUGUUGUGCCGAAGCUAACGCAUUAAGCAUUCCGCCUGGGGAGUACGGUCGCAAGGCUG